GUAUUUGUUUCCACAGCACAAAUACUAAAAUUAAAAUAAUACAGAGAAGAUUAGCAUGGACCUUGCACAGGGAUGACACGCAAAUUCGUGAAGCAUGCCAUAUUAAA